rnacentral:rRNA from 1 species
UACGUAGGGGGCAAGCGUUGUCCGGAAUCAUUGGGCGUAAAGAGCGUGUAGGCGGCCAGAUAAGUCCGCUGUGAAAUCUCGAGGCUCAACUUCGAGCUGUCGGUGGAAACUGUCUGGCUAGAGUCCGGAAGAGGAGAAUGGAAUUCCUGGUGUAGCGGUGAAAUGCGCAGAUAUCAGGAGGAACACCGGUGGCGAAGGCGGCAUCCUGGACCGGAAUUGACGCUGAGGAGCGAAAGCCAGGGGAGCAAACGGG